GCUGUUUCCAUCCAUGUCCAUGUCAACUGGCAUCUGGAACUACUCGUAGCAGCACCCACUCAAUAUACCAGCCUGGAAGACAACGGAGCUGUCAUUCUGUUAAAAAAUUAAGAGAAGUACGCAGAACCUGCCUUUUUCUAAAUAAGAAGCUUGGAAGCGACUGGACACUUUUGGCCAUUGCAGUCCACAGAUUAUAAAUGUCUUAUUCACCUAACUAACCCC